ACAGUUCUGUGGUCAGAUAGCUCC
rnacentral:siRNA from 1 species